ACUGCGGUUGAAAGGCGGCGUGGGCGGCGGACCCGCGCUCUGCAGCCGAGCUGGUGCGGGGAGGGCUGCGCGCGGGGGCUGGCUGUGGAGCAGCACCGCAGUGAGGAGUUAGCCCAAGGAAAAUCAGAUUAAAGGAAACUGCCUAGAGAUGCCACUGCAGCGUGCCCGGGUAGUCCUGUUGGCAGCCUGCCCCUAUGCAGCUUUUGGCAAUACAGAACAGCUUCUUGGGGCUCCCACGUGAGAAGGCUGUAACAGACAGACAGCAGCCACGAUGAAACACGCUGAAAAGAGCCAGCAGAAAAAAACGAGGAGAGACUGGUAUGACGGAGUGGAAUUCCGGUUGUGGAUGACAGAAUGGAAAUUUUACGCAAGAUGAAAGA
rnacentral:lncRNA from 1 species